AUUGAACGCUAGCGGGAUGCCUUACACAUGCAAGUCGAACGGAGUGGCGAACGGGUGAGUAAUGAAGCGGAACGUGCCCAGUAGCGGGGGAUAACUACGCGACAGCGUAGCUAAUACCACAUACGAUUGGAGCGGCCGAUAACGGCUGAGCUGGUUGGUGGGGUAACGGCUCACCAAGGCGACGAUCCGUAGCUGGUUUGAGAGGACGACCAGCCACACUGGGACUGGGACACGGCCCAGACUCCUACGGGAGGCAGCAGUGGGGAAUUUUGGACAAGGGGGGAAGCCCGGAUCCAGCCAUCCCGCGUGUGGGAUGAAGGCCGUCGGGUUGUAAAGCACGUUUGGCAGGAAAGCGGUACCUGCAGAGUAAGCACCGGCUAACUACGUGCCAGCAGCCGCGGUAAUAC
rnacentral:rRNA from 1 species